rnacentral:misc_RNA from 1 species
AAAAAAAAAAAAAAAAAAAAGCGAUCCAAGUUGCCACUAUAGCAAUUAAGCCUCUACAACAUAGUAAUUUUAAGUCAAAAGAGAAAUAGAAGGAGCAGGCAAUCAUGAUUUGCGGAAGUAAAUACAAUAACACAAGGUCUCUCAUCAACACAGGUUAAAAGAUACAUCCAGAAGAAUAGGACUAUAUUUCCAUAUAUGGACAUUACGUAGACACCAUGAAACAUCCACAUGGAAUCAGAAUAUUACACAUUCUAUUGAACAAUUAGAAGUAAUACAAUCACACUAACCUGAAUAGAUCAUCUGUGAUAAGA